AAAAUUUUUCAAAAGAAAAAAAAAAAUCUGUUCUUAUCAGUUUAAUAUCUGAUACGUCCCCCAUCCGGGGACUACAUAUUAAAUGGAUUUUUAGAUCACGGAGCUGGAGCCGGGGCUUGCUCCGUCCACUCCAUGCAUCGGCCUGGUAUUGCAGUGUCUCCAGGAACGGUGUGCUUUCC
ensembl:snRNA U2 U2 spliceosomal RNA